UAAAGAACUGCCAUCUUAUCAGAACAAUAACUUUCUGUUUUGAGACAUUGCUCUAAAAUGGAAUGGAUCCAAUGCCUCCAAUGUCUUUCAGUAUUUCCAGUUCAAGCUGGAAGUAUAUCUUUAUUGCUGAAGCUUCAAGGUGACUAACAGCUGCAAAUACAACAAAAGAACAACAAAUAAAAUGAAGAAAAGAAAAUGUAAAGAGCAAUGUACACACAGCUGAAGGCCUGCUCCCAUCCUUCUACAACAGGGCUGUCAAAGUCGAGACCCAUGAGCCAGAUCCAUCACAUGCUGGCCAUGGUCCUGCCCAGUUUAAUGAAGUGGGGGGAGAGUUCCAAUACAUCACGUGACACUGCCAUGAUGACUUGAGUUUGACAUCCCUGUUCUACAAUAUAUUAAGUGUAGUCUGUCAUCACUAAAGGGCUGCUCACCUUGAUCUGGCCAGUGACAGACUGAAGAAGAUAAAAGUGGGGUAAAGGGAGCAAUGCAAGUGUGCUGAUAUGACUUGGUUUAAAGAGACAAUCUUAGCAAAAACAGGCAGAAUCAUUUUAUAAUAG